rnacentral:lncRNA from 1 species
GCCAGCAAGUUUACUUAGUUCAACAGAACACACCAGCAGAGGUGGCAGGUCAAGGUAUAAGAAGAAAUGGGGAAAAGCUCAAGAACACAGUGAUGCAAAGCACUUAAAUGCAUGCGAGAGAGUAGAAGGAAAAAUUCAGAGAAAAUGACAGCAGCGCCUAUAACCACCAGCAAUGCAGUCACAGCCAAACCCCCAAACCCCACUCGCCAUGACCAGUUCGGUGCACACUACUCUCUU